rnacentral:rRNA from 1 species
GAUGAACGCUGGCGGCGUGCUUAACACAUGCAAGUCGAACGAUGAAGCCCAGCUUGCUGGGUGGAUUAGUGGCGAACGGGUGAGUAACACGUGAGUAACCUGCCCUUAACUCUGGGAUAAGCCCGGGAAACUGGGUCUAAUACCGGAUAGGAGCGCCUACCGCAUGGUGGGUGUUGGAAAGAUUUAUCGGUUUUGGAUGGACUCGCGGCCUAUCAGCUUGUUGGUGAGGUAAUGGCUCACCAAGGCGACGACGGGUAGCCGGCCUGAGAGGGUGACCGGCCACACUGGGACUGAGACACGGCCCAGACUCCUACGGGAGGCAGCAGUGGGGAAUAUUGCACAAUGGGCGAAAGCCUGAUGCAGCGACGCCGCGUGAGGGAUGACGGCCUUCGGGUUGUAAACCUCUUUCAGUAGGGAAGAAGCGAAAGUGACGGUACCUGCAGAAGAAGCACCGGCUAACUACGUG